CAGCAAUCCCAGCUGUGUUUGUGAGAGUGUUUGAGUGCAGAAGAGGCAGUUGGAGAGGGUGAUUGGAGGAGAUCAGAGAAACAUGUGGAGCAGUUUGAACAGAGGGGUUUGGAGUGUGAGGGAGGUGGUUGGCACAGCUUCAGAUGGCAGAAUGGUCCACCAAACCACAAGGCAUCCUCACCAUCGUCAUCAGCGUCCGAGAAAACAAAAAGGUAGAGGGUGGUUCUCUUGCUGAUAGAGGUGUUGGCUUUGUUGGAUUGCUUGAGGGCUGGCAUGUCUGUGAGUGCUGUGGCAUACAAAUUUGGCCAGAAUGAGUCCAGCAUCCAUGCCAUCAAGGUGUAUGAAAAGGAGAUCCAUGGGGCUGUGGCAGUAAGCACACCACUGACCGCAGCCAGGUGUAGGACAAGGCUUUGGUGGAGACAGAGACGGCACUGAACUUGUGGCUGGAGGACACGAACCGGAAACAUGCUCCAUGGAUGGCAGCAUAUUGUGCCAAAAGACACCAAACCUCUAUGACUUCAAACCUUCUAUCACAAAUGGGGACCAGCUUGCUAUGGAAUUUGAAGCCAGGCCGGGUUGACUUAACAGCUUUAAGAUCUGCUUGGAACGCAGCCUCAAGAUCAUCUGUGAGAUUACACUCUUUGAGACUAUAAAAGGAAAUGUUUGAUGAGCCCAAGAGACAACAUCGGUAGCUGCCAAUCACCAUGUUCCUCACAGAUACCAGCCGCUGCUGUCGUAGCAGCAGAUGUGCCUGCGCAACCCACCUCUGAAUCUGAACCAUAGCCAAGCACUUCUCGGUCUUCAUAUAAUCAGAAGCAUCAUCCAGCGAGGGAGGAGGAUGACUUCAUUCGUCCCUCAUAGAUAGCUACUUGGCUACACCUCAGAGAGCAAAAGCUUAUUAUGGGUAUGUCCUUCGAAUCCUGGGAUCCAGGUCUCUACAGGACCGGCUCUUCAUGAAUUUGGAACAGCAGCAUAUGGAAAUCGUAUAUGGGAGGUGAGUCACAGGCAUCAAAGUGCUGUUUCUCCCAUAAGCACUCCUUUGUACAUGUUUCCCAAGUAUGGAGGUAGGCGGAGCAGUAGAUUAAUUAAAGGAGGUAUUUGUAUGCCUUUCACAUUUGCUUUUGAAAGUUACAGGAACCCUAAAGUUACAUGUAUAUAUGGGAGGAACAUAGAUUUCUCAUUUCUUGUCAUGGCCUGUCCUGCCUCUUUAUGCCUAUGCACAUUGUAAAGGUGAGAGAGGUAUUAUUGAGCCCUAUAGCUACCAUGUUUUCCCGAAAAUAAGACACUGCCUUAUAUUUUUCCUCAAGAAGACACACUAUGGCUUAUUUUCCGGGGGGGGGGGGGGUCUUAUUUUUUAAAAUUACGCGUCCAGCUUCGCCUCUUCCUUGGCGCCCUCCAGAUUAGCGCCUAUCACUAUGUCUUAUUUUUUGGGUAUGGCUUUUAUUGUGCAAAUGCUUAGAAAUCCUGCUACGGCUUAUUUUAUGGGUAUGUCUUAUUUUCGGGGAAACAGGGUAGUAGGUCCUUAGGUCCUUCCCCACCUGUAGGGUGCCCAUGCAGGGAAGAAAUACUGUAUACCCAUCAGAAAUAAAAACUUAACUCAUCUAUUUUCUACUCAGCACCUAUGGGUAUAAAGAAGAGAAGCUCUUGCUAUAGUUGUCUACUGAAAAGUAAUAUUGCAUAGUGCAACUACUAUUAGAAUUAGUGUAUUUCAGGCUUCCUCAACCUCUGCCCUCCAGAUGUUUUUGGCCUACAACUCCCAUGGUCCUAGCUAGCAGGACCAGUGGUCAGGGAUGAUGGGAAUUGUAGUCUCAAAACACCUGGAGGGCCGAAGUUGAGGAAGCCUGGUGUAUAUUCUAGGACACAUGGUAGCUAGAAAAGAAACUGAGGCAUCUGUAGGCUUCAGCAAAAAAUUCAUUAUGGCUGCAGUCCUACAUACUUACCCAUAGGUAAGCCUUGUUAAAUUCAAAUCACCUUCCCUAUUUAUAGAAUUAUAUUGUACUGUUAUAUAGUGUGUUGACUCCAAACCAAAACUAAUCAUACUUAUAUCAAUGGGACUUAACUAACUUGCUCAGGAUCAAACAGUGGUGGGAGAAUUAGAUUACCAGGUUGCUUGUACCUUUGAUUCCAGCUGUAUAUUGAUCUAAAAGGCGUUUGGAACUUUGAAGACAUGUUACAGCAGUGGUUACAACAACAGAGUUAUAUCCCAUAGAAAUCAAUUGAUCAAGCCAGUGUCUUGAUGGUUGUAUCAAAGUUUACUUAGAAGGAACCCUUUUUGUAUGUUAACUUUCUAUGAAGCAGUAACGUUCAGUGCACCAUCUUGUGGCAGGCGGCAUUAUUAUCUUUCAAAGCACAUUCUGGUUGCUUGUUGAUAGAAAACGUUAUGCUUUAUAUUCACCCCCGAAGCAAUGUUUGCCUCUUAAAGUUCCAUUUGAAGCUGUGGCACACCAUGCAGUUCCACCAGACACUGAACACAUAAAACAGCACUGAUUUUCUUUUAUUGACAACGGGGGAGAAAAAGAAUCUGUCACCAUUUGGUUAACUGAGGUCUGUUUAAGUAAAAAAAAUAAAGCAAAACAAAAUGCAGUGAAACAAAUGUACGUGCAGAUGUUUUGCAGAUCAACCUGCUGAAAGGAAUAACCAAAAGACAGGUCUGAAGCUAAGAUCAGGCAGCGGGAGAUUAGCAAAUAGAAGGUAAAUGACAUUAUUAAAUAGGUCUUACUUUGAAACUUCCCAUAUAAACAAAGAAUAAACAUCAAUAACACCACCAAAUAAAGCCACAGCAGAUAAUAGUUUCUCCUCUAAGCUUUUGUACAUUAUAUAUUAACUUUUCUGCUUUUCAGUUAGUUCCUCUGAUAAAACUGACUUCUGAGAAGUCUCAGCAAGGCCGUCUUGGAUAAACAUGUUAUUAGUCAAUCAGCUGUCUAAUGCCUAUUAUAAUGAAGAAAUGGAGGGCAGCAUUUUUCUAUAUAACUGAAAACUUGAAGAUCAGGAUUUAUUUCCCCUUGAUGUUUGUUCUAUGCCAACGUUGGCCGGCAUUUGAAGAAUAUGGAAGGCAAAACGUGAGUCCUAGAAAAAGCUAGUUUCUUCUUGGUCCAUAAGUAGCCAUUGAGGAGAAUGUCUCUUGUUAACCUCCUAUAGUUGAUUUUUGAUGUUGUUGAUAUUAAACAGGAGAGCAGUCACAGUGCUUUUCUACAAGUAUAUAUAACAAUUCUGUUUUGCCUUCAGAGGUCCAUUUUUGGCUCAAAUCUUUCUUUUGUAAAUCAUCAGAGGCAGGUGUUGAGCUUUAGAUAUUGACAGAUUUCUUUUAAAAAGUAGGAACAUGUUGAAGCAUCUAAUAACUCUGCUAAACAUAUCCAAUUGACUUUGCUACAAUUCAAAACUGUAAAAAUGGUGGAAUGGAAGGAUACAAACAGUAUUGUUGACACUGUAUUGUCAAGUGUUUGCACUAAGACCCCAUGUACCAUAGAUUUAAUUUCUUUUUAAAAAAUCAUAUUUAUAUCCAUUUACAUGAGACUUACACAUAUUAAAAGAAAUACAUACACAGUAAAUACAUAAAUUCUAGUAUUUUACAAUAAAACAGAUGAAACAAGUUUAGAAAUGAGUGUCUCCUUUUGAUAAAAGCUUUCCUGCACUUCAAUCAAAUUUAUGAUGAUAAAUACAUUGGGGUUUAUUAUUUUUCUUUAAAAAAACUUAAUUAGUAACUAUUACCUUAUGGAACUACCCAGUGGGCGCAGUCCAGCCAGUACUGUUGCUGCACAUUCUUUAGUCAUUUCAAUGGGGCUGUCUGAAACUUAUGUUACCUCCAUUGAAAUGAAUUAGAGUUGCAUGAUGGUAGUACUUGGCAGGCUGCACCUUAAAACGCAAUUUGUAAAAAGAUCUCCAUGUAGUUUAGUCUGAUAAAUAUUCUAGUGUACUUCCUUAUACCCUGUUCUUGAAUAAAAAGCUUCUUUUCGUAACAUGGUGGUAGUGCACUUCAGGUAGAGUUGGCAUCUAGAGGUGGGGGAAAAAUAGUACAUUCAGUAAUAACUCCAUUACAACAUUCUGUUACUGAGCCAAGGGUCUCCAACAUGGUGCCUGUGGGCCCUGCAGAAGUCUUCCCUGGCAAUGCAGGGCACCCUUCUUCAUCCCUCUAUGGAAAUUAGGCUCACAAAUCAUUCUGGUGUAGCCAAUGCAAUAAGUUGUGGUGUGUGCUUGAUUACAGCAUGUGGUGCUCUGUGAGAAUUUGGAUUGUAAUUGUUUAGUCAUACAGCGGUACCUCGAGUUACAAACACCUCAGGUUACAGAAUCCACUAACCCAGAAGUACCCCCCAUAAAGGUUGGUGAUCUCUAUCUUAGGCUCAUUAUUAAUUAGUAAAUGGUUUCUAGCACAGCCCUGUUGAAGCAGGCAGGAUUAUUGUGGAGAAAAGGGGCUGCGGACACAAUGGGGAAAACCUGUCUUGAAGCACUCAGGAAAUUUAAACAUAGGCAGUAUCUGUAUGUAUGGAGCUACGAGCCCCAGAUUCCUUUUACCACUCAAGUAUGCAUAUUUUACCUGAAGCAAUCAAGGUAAAUGUUACUGUUUUCUGUGAGAAUUUGGAUUGUAAUUGUUUAGUCAUAUACAGUGGUACCUCGAGUUACAAACACCUCAGGUUACAGAAUCCGCUAACCCGGACGUACCACCUCGGGUUAAGAACUUUACCUCGGGAUGAGAACAGAAAUCACACUGCGGUGGCAGUGGGAAGGCCCCAUUAGCUAAAGUGGUACCUCAGGUUAAGAACGGACCACUGGAACAAGUUAUGUUCGUAACCAGAGGUACCACUGUAUAAUAUACCGAAGCAGACGUGUUAAUACAAUAAAUAUUCCAGUUAGAAUUUCACUAUCUUUGCAUCUUUUUAAGGUAAUAAAUUGGGUUGCUUUUUCCCCUCUAGUAGGAUUGUUGGUAAUGUAGAAUGUUUCCUUUGAUGUUGGGAAAUGUUUCAGAUGUCAUUGGUGAUAGUAUUGGUCCAUAAAUUACUGUAGCUACCAGUGGAAUAAAUGUCAAGGGCAAUGGCAUUUACAAUGAACCCAUAGACUGCACUCUUGAGUAGUACUGUCCUUGCAAAUUGCACUGAUUCAUUUUUCUAUACCUUUAGCACAUUAUUUUUGGCUGCCUAGUGCUGUUCGUAUUUCCUAAUUUUAGAAUUUGUAUUCUCAAGCAAUGGCUGACUCUGUAGUAGUAGCAGUAGAUUAGAUAAUCAUAGGUUUGAUAUUUGCAAGCAUUGGCUCUUUACUAUCUGAACUUGCAGUGAAAUUUGUAAUGCUCUGGGGCACACAAUUUCAUACCCUUGGCAUGCUAACAGCCUACAUAGCUCUAAUUACAAGCUGUUCCAGUGCUUUUGUCCUCAUUUGGUUUAAUGUUUUUGCUUGGGAGAAAGGAAAAGCUUUCCCACUCUCUACAUUCAGAGCUAAACUACACAUGGCAUUAAUGAUGAGUGUAAACAAGUGUGCUACGUCUGGCUGCUUUUAUUUUGGAGAGAAAUCCAUCUUGGGGUCCGGUGCUAGAAUCUGCUUCAAAUGUGGUUGGAGUCCUAUGCUAGUUUUUUGCUGAAAAGUGCACCAACAAGGUUGACAUUUGCCCUGAAGGUGCUAUUUUGCAGUGUCUGGCAGGUUCCUUAGAUUCAUUUGAGUCUCAUUCCAAGGCUUAGAUGUUGAGAACUCACAGCUCCUUAUUACUCAAUACUGUUAAUGUGCAGACACAGUCUAAGGAUAGUCUGAAGUUGUACAGCCCAGGCAUACCUUCACUAUCCCAGUGCCCAGACGUACCACAGUGAGAACUUCCUAGGCCCCUUGAGAGAACCCUACACUGCUAUGGUUAUUGUUUCAGUUCUGCCCAACAAAUAAGAUAGCUUUUUAAUUACUCACAUGAGUUCACCUCCGUCCUUUUUUCCAUGCCAGCCUUGUCAGCAUGAAUACGUGCGAACUGUCGAGCUGUCUAGUCUCUGCAACCGUGCUGACGCCACUGCAAAUUGAUAGCCAAAACAACAAGAAGAAUCUUGGAAUUAGAGGAAGGGGAAGAAAACAUGUAGCCCACUCUGCAAGCUGCCUCAUAUGAGAGACAUCAAGGAUGUGAAGCCCUCAAAUAUUCUACAGUACCUCUCCACAAUCAUGUAUUUCCUGGUACCAUGUGCUGCCUUCAACAUGGAAGUUCAAGAUUCAGUGUUGUAGUUUAAAGAGAUAUUUCAUUAAUAAGAAAACACCUAUGUAUGUACAACAUUCGUCAACUGAAUUAAACUCUUCUAAACUGACAGGCUUUUUCUUAAUAUUGUAGUCAUCAUACAUAUAGUAACAUAUAUCAGUAUGGGCUGUGUAGACCAAGGGAACUGCAGGAUGAGAGAGGGGGAAGCCUGAAAAUGAGGGUGAUCUGUGUGAAGGGAAAGUUCAAAAAGAGGAAGGGAAAAAAGGUGAUGGUGAUAAUGGCGUGUAGGUGCAAAGAGACCUACACAAUAGGAGACAGGAGAAGGCAUGGGAAUGGGGUGAUCUGUGUACAAAGGAGAAGAAAGGAGGAGAGUGGAGUAAAGAGAUGCCUAGGGGGGUGCAAAAAGAGGGAGUAGAAGGCAUGGGGAAGGGUCUGAAGAAUAAGAGGAGACGGUGGCUUCAUGGUUGGGUCGAAUAUGAAAUGGAUGCUUAGCUGUAAUGUACGGAAGAUGCAAGAGGUCACCAUGGGAGUGGUUUGUGUGCAAGGGGGAGGAAAUUGCACAAAAGGGGGGGGAAGAGACAUGUGGGUGAAGGUGAAAAGAGGUGCAAAGGAGGACUGCAGAAUAGAAGAGUGAAGUGGCCCCCAAAAGGUGAAAAGUGAGCUUAGUAGUUGCAUGGGUUGGGAAGGAGAAUCUCCAGCUUAAUAAGGGUUACUGGGCCAAGCGAGUAGGGGUAUGUAUAUAUAUGAAGACCAAAAUCAACCAUUUCAUAUUCUCUGCUACCUAUUAAGUAUAAAUAAAAUUACUUACUUCAUCA